rnacentral:rRNA from 1 species
GACGAACGCUUGCGGCGUGCCUAAGAAAUGCAAGUCGAGCGGACAAAGGGCUUCGGCCUGGAGUUAGCGGCGAACGGUCGCGUAACACGUAAGCAACCUGCCUCAAAGACCGGGACAACAUCUCGAAAGGGGUGCUAAUACCGGAUGUGGCCUCUGGGGGACAUCCUCUGGCGAUUAAAUCAGGAAACUGGCUUUGAGAGGGGCUUGCGUCCUAUCAGCUAGUUGGUGGGGUAACGGCCUACCAAGGCGACGACGGGUAGCUGGUCUGAGAGGACGAUCAGCCGGACUGGGACUGAGAUACGGCCCAGACUCCUACGGGGGGCAGCAAUUAGGAAUCUUGCACAAUGGGGGAAACCCUGAUGCAGCGACGCCGCGUGAGGGAGGAAGUCCUUCGGGAUGUAAACCUCUUUUAGGUGGGAAGAAACGAAUGACGGUACCACCUGAAUAAGCUCCGGCUAACUACGUGCCAGCAGCCGCCGUAACAC